rnacentral:tRNA from 2 species
GGAGAGGUGCUCGAGUGGUUGAAGAGGCACGCCUGGAAAGCGUGUAUACCCCAAAAGGGUAUCCGGGGUUCGAAUCCCCGUCUCUCCGCUA